UAUUUUUAUAAAUAAACGUACUCUUUUUGUCAAAACCAUUUCUGGACUAACUGUUUAUUUUUUGUACUGAUGAAUAUCGAAUCCGAUCGUAAAACAUGUUCUAAUCUUUAAGAUUUUUCUAGACAUUUAAGCUAACACGCGACUGCGACGCGAUUUCCCCGAUCAGCAGCAUAUAAAUUAUAUUAUAUAUUACACUACAUACUUGUGCACAUAUUCAUAUAAUGCUUUUUGGACUGACUGAUAAUCGGCGAUAAGUUGGACGCGCGUGAGACCAUUGUGGGGACCUUCAAAUUUCAAUGGGACUGCUUGCUUAUCAGCUGUCCUCUCUCUCUCUCUCUCUCGCUCACUUGCUUGCUCACUCGAAGGCAGGCGCACCGCCCGUGAAACUAAUCUGAUUAUGUUCAUGACUUUUUCAAAUGGAACAAAAAAAAAAAGAAAUAACAGAAGAAGCGAGAAAAAAAAUACAUGCAUACUCAAAUUUUAAGCGUAUUUAUUUUUAAGAACGUGUGAUAAGAUAAUGAGCAAAAACCAAGCAGCAAUCAAGCAGUUCCUUGUCCUAUUGUUAUGCAAGCAGUUUACUGUCAACUGUCAACUUUCAUGCUCUCGCUCUCUCCUUCCACUCUCCUUCUCUUUGGUUUCUUGUGUCGCACUAUUGAUCAAGUCGACAUCUUAAUUAGCACCUUAGGUAUCAAUCUCAACGUUAAUAUUGCUGUUUGUGGUUUCGGUAGCAUCAAUAUCUAUAGCACCCCAACAAAACGCCGUUUGGUACUUUAUUGGUUUACCGCAAAAGCUCCGAUUGCAUUACUCCGCCACCUGCUAUAAAAGCUUCGCCCAUAACGAUAAUCUGCAAUUACCAUAUCGAUAUCGUGUUACGCAUGUUGAUGACUCUCGAUAGUCUGGCGUAACAAUUGUCACAUUGCUUAUUAUAAUAUUACAAUGUGUUGUUAUUAUUAUCAUUGAAAUCUGACGUCAGCAGCACGGCUGAAUUUGAUGAAAUAACCAAACAAAAAAGAUUAUCAUAUUUUUUUUGUGAUUGUGCAUCGUUGUAAUUGCGGGUGACGUAGCAAUCAGCUGUUUGACAGUCAUUCGAUCUUUUCUUCCCAAUCGAUAAUUGAUGCGCGUACGCGCAUAUUAUUAUUCCGCUUUAUCAAUGAAACCGCAUUUUUGGGGCCGGUCAAGUAAACCGGUUUGUAUGCGAAAUCAAUAUGUAUACAAAUGUAUGUAUAUGUAUGCACAAAAGGAGCAUAAAGCACACACACACUUACACACACGCAAAACAAUAACAAGCAGUCAAAACUGGCAUGCAAUUCUAUUUGCUCAAAAGGCCGUCGCUUGGCGGCGCCACAAGUUCACAUGGUUAAUUGAAUUUGCCUGACCCACUAGCCGCAAAACAAAAACCAUGUAAGGCCGCCAACGCUGACACUUAUCGACAUGCGGAUACCCUGUAUAUUCGUAUUGGUCAAAUGUAUUUUAAACCACAAUACAAGCGCUGUUGAUAAAAUAAACUUCAAUUAAAAAACCUUACAUGCCAGCUUUUGAAAGCAUGCAGGGUAGCACACAGCUACUGUCUGCUACAACAGCAACAAUAGCAAACAAAAACAACAAAUGCUGCCCGAACUGUCAAUCAAAAAGCAAAUUGCACUUUGCGCUUGAGCUUGGAUUCCGUUUUCAUUUCCAUUUCGUUCGCUUUUGUCUGGCAUACGAAAAAAAAAAAAAAAAACGCCACGCGUAGCAACAGCAACAAAAUAAAGAGUCUCGGAAUUUUCCCCGUCGAUUAAAGCGUGUCUCAUAAUGGGCCGACAGCGACUGUUCCGAUCUGAACAUAAAAAAAAAAUACCAAAUA